CACGUAGGCACCAAGCGUUAUCCGGAUUUAUUGGGCGUAAAGAGCUCGUAGGCGGUUCGGUAAGUCGGGUGUGAAAACUCUGGGCUCAACCCAGAGAGGCCACCCGAUACUGCUGUGACUAGAGUGCGGUAGGGGAGCGGGGAAUUCCUGGUGUAGCGGUGAAAUGCGCAGAUAUCAGGAGGAACACCAGCGGCGAAGGCGCCGCUCUGGGCCGUAACUGACGCUGAGGCGCGAAAGCCAGGGGAGCAAACGGG
rnacentral:rRNA from 1 species